AGUGAACGCUGGCGGUAGGCCUAACACAUGCAAGUCGAACGGCAGCACAGUAAGAGCUUGCUCUUACGGGUGGCGAGUGGCGGACGGGUGAGGAAUACAUCGGAAUCUACUUUUUCGUGGGGGAUAACGUAGGGAAACUUACGCUAAUACCGAAUACGACCUACGGGUGAAAGCAGGGGAUCUUCGGACCUUGCGCGAUUGAAUGAGCCGAUGUCGGAUUAGCUAGUUGGCGGGGUAAAGGCCCACCAAGGCGACGAUCCGUAGCUGGUCUGAGAGGAUGAUCAGCCACACUGGAACUGAGACACGGUCCAGACUCCUACGGGAGGCAGCAGUGGGGAAUAUUGGACAAUGGGCGCAAGCCUGAUCCAGCCGUACCGCGUGGGUGAAGAAGGCCUUCGGGUUGUAAAGCCCUUUUGUUGGGAAAGAAAAGCAGCAGGUUAAUACCCCGCUGUUCUGACGGUACCCAAAGAAUAAGCACCGGCUAACUUCGUG
rnacentral:rRNA from 1 species